AGGCCGACUUACGACGAGCUGACUUCAUAUUUAGACGACGUGCCAUGGAAGAUGCAUACAUGGCAUUGAAGUUUAUAAGAAACAUUCAUGACAUGAUGGCAAACAAAUUUUACCAAUUUCCUUCAAAUGAAAGGUCUUUCUCUCUCAAAGAUAAAAUG